rnacentral:rRNA from 1 species
GACGAACGCUGGCGGCGUGCUUAACACAUGCAAGUCGAACGGAAAGGCCCUGCUUGCAGGGUACUCGAGUGGCGAACGGGUGAGUAACACGUGGGUGAUCUGCCCUGCACUUCGGGAUAAGCCUGGGAAACUGGGUCUAAUACCGGAUAGGAGCCAUUUUUAGUGUGAUGGUUGGAAAGUUUUUUCGGUGUAGGAUGAGCUCGCGGCCUAUCAGCUUGUUGGUGGGGUAAUGGCCUACCAAGGCGGCGACGGGUAGCCGGCCUGAGAGGGUGGACGGCCACAUGGGGACUGGGAUACGGCCAAGACUCCUACGGAGGCAGCAGUGGGGAAUAUUGCACAAUGGGCGCAAGCCUGAUGCAGCGACGCCGCGUGGGGGAUGACGGCCUUCGGGUUGUAAACUCCUUUCGCUAGGGACGAAGCUUUUUGUGACGGUACCUAGAUAAGAAGCACCGGCUAACUACGUG